rnacentral:rRNA from 1 species
UUCGGGGAGCUUGCACAGGUGCUGCAUGGCUGUCGUCAGCUCGUGUCGUGAGAUGUCGGUUAAGUCCGCUAACGAGCGCAACCCUCACUGUGUGUUAUACGUGUCACACGGGACUGCCGGUUUUAAGCCGGAGGAAGGCGGGGAUGACGUCAAGUCAGCAUGGCCUUUAUAUCCUGGGCUACACACACGCUACAAUGGUCUGUACAAUUGGUUGCCAAGCCGCGAGGCGGAGCCAAUCCUAAAGCAGGCCUCAGUUCAGAUUGCAGUCUGCAACUCGACUGCAUGAAGCCGGAGUUGCUAGUAACCGCAGGUCAGCAAUACUGCGGUGAAUACGUUCCCGGGUCUU